GGAGGACAAAGGACAACUUUGUGGACUCAGUCCUCUCCUUCUGUCUCUGUGGGGUUACAAGACUGAACUCAGAGCCCAGGCCUGAGCACCAUGUCUUCACCAUCUAUUCCACUCCUAAAGAAACACUCAAGAGAAGAGAAAAGUUUGUCUGCAAAACAACACACAAGUACUCGAAACACGGCUGUUCACAGCAGUCAGCAGUCAGCCCACGAGUACAGUGAGUAACAAAACACGGCACGUCUCCACGUGAGGCAGUUAGAAUCAUCAUCAUCAUCAUCACCACUAAUAAUUUACUGACCUGCUGUUCCUGAGUGGAUUCAAGAGAAGACAGUUAUCAACAAAACACAGAAGCAGCGCAAUAAAACCAGCAGACA